AGGCACUUAUGCAAAAGAAAGAAAAGGAGAAAAUGGGGGUUUAAAGAAGCAAGCCCACUGAUCUCUAACACUUCAAGCUCUCUGCAAUUUGACGCACGAGUGCGCGUGAGUCUCGACAGUCGACUCAAGACGGUGCUACGCGGGAAACUAUACGAGUUUCAAGGCUGUGUUUUUAAGGUUUAUCUUUGCUAGUAAAUCCGUUCCUUGUGAGCUCGAAAAGGAAGCUCCACUUAGACAGAAGUUUUUUUCAAAUUUGCAUUAAAAAUUUCAAAAUUCUAACGGAAUCAUCUCAACUCUAAACUUCUUUUCAUUGAGGCGAUAUUUCGAUAGAAUGAGUUCUCUACAGGAAGCUCCCAAAGAAAUCUACAAUUUGUAUUUGCAAACGGCUUUAAAUAUCGUGACUUAUUUUGAAGAUGAGUCCCAAGAAGAGAGGCUGAAAGAAUUAACAGACCUAGCUGAGGUCAGCGCUAAGCUAGAUUUAAAACUGAAGAAAUCGUGUGAAAUUUUACAACGCCUAUCCGCACCACAAGAUGAUUUCAAUGGAAAUCAGGAAGUAAUUGAUCAUGCGCAAACAUUGGAGCAAUUUACCAAUGAAAUAGAAGGUAUUGACACGGAUGUUAAUAAGCACAAGAAAUUUCAGGAUUUUCAACAACAAGUUCAAGUUCUCUUAGAAAAUACAAGAUUGAACAACGCAGCCAACGUGAAUGAUGACGAAUUGGUGCUAACUCAAAAUGAUAUAAACGUCAUCGAUCCCAUCACUAAAAGGCGAAUAAAUGAUCCUGUCAGAAACACAGUUUGUGGUCAUGUUUAUGAUCGAGGAAGUGUUGAAGCUUUGUUAAAAGCAAAUAAACAAACAAGAUGCCCAGUUGCCGGUUGUGCAAAUAAAAAUUACUUACAGCUGGACAAUUUUCAGACGGAUAUUCUUACCAAAAGAUAUUUAGACCGAAAUCCUCAUGCGGAUUAAUGUGUAUCCAGAAAACUAAAUUACUCUUAACACCAUCCAAUACUUACAUCACGGAUAAACACCAUGGAUGCGUGCUCAAAAAUACGAUGUUCUUGAAAAUGAAUUUAUUUCACAAGUGUAUGGUAAACAAGCAAGGGUUUAUUCAUAUCUAUAUAACCAACCGAAUUAAAUAAUUACCUUUACUCUUCGGAUCACUCUUACCCAAAAAAACACUGUUAUACGACCGGUGAGUCCAACAACGAUUAGAAUGUCUUGCAAAGCAAUGUACUUGAAAC